rnacentral:rRNA from 1 species
GAUGAACGCUGGCGGCGUGCCUAAUACAUGCAAGUCGAGCGAACAGACGAGGAGCUUGCUCCUCUGACGUUAGCGGCGGACGGGUGAGUAACACGUGGAUCACCUACCUAUAAGACUGGGAUCACUUCGGGAAACCGGAGCUAAUACCGGAUAAUAUAUUGAACCGCAUGGUUCAAUAGUGAAAGACGGUUUUGCUGUCACUUAUAGAUGGAUCCGCGCCGCAUUAGCUAGUUGGUAAGGUAACGGCUUACCAAGGCAACGAUGCGUAGCCGACCUGCGAGGGGGAUCGGCCACACGAGAACGGAGACACGGUCCAGACGCCUACGGGAGGCAGCAGUAGGGAAUCUUCCGCAAUGGGCGAAAGCCUGACGGAGCAACGCCGCGUGAGUGAUGAAGGUCUUCGGAGCGUAAAACUCGGUUAUUAGGGAAGAACAAAUGUGGAAGGAACUAUGUACGUCUUGACGGUACCUAAUCAGAAAGCCACGGCUAACUACGUG